rnacentral:rRNA from 1 species
AUUGAACGCUGGCGGCAGGCCUAACACAUGCAAGUCGAACGAGAGGAAGGAAAGCUUGCUUUUCUGAAUCUAGUGGCGAACGGGUGAGUAACACGUAGGUAACCUGCCCAUGUGCCCGGGAUAACUUCUGGAAACGGAUGCUAAAACCGGAUAGGUAGCAGACAAGCAUUUGACUGCUAUUAAAGUGGCUAAGGCCAUGAAUAUGGAUGGACCUGCGGUGCAUUAGCUAGUUGGUGAGGUAACGGCCCACCAAGGCGACGAUGCAUAGCCGGACUGAGAGGGCGGACGGGAACAUUGGGACUGAGACACGGCCCAAACUCCUACGGGAGGCAGCAGUAGGGAAUUUUCGUCAAUGGGGGGAACCCUGAACGAGCAAUGCCGCGUGAGUGAGGAAGGUCUUCGGAUCGUAAAGCUCUGUUGUAAGAGAAAAACGACAUUCAUAGGGAAUGAUGAGUGAGUGAUGGUAUCUUACCAGAAAGUCACGGCUAACUACGUGCCAGCAGCCGCGGUAA